rnacentral:rRNA from 1 species
AUGGAGGCUCCCCAUGGCGCACCAUCUUCUUUAGACCUGUCUCUGACGCUGGCCCCCAUGCCACCACCUCCAUCCUCCUCUGUUUGGGCUGCAGCAGACGACCUCGCUGCUGCCGGGGACAACGGCUAUGUCCAUGGCCAUGGUGGCGCCUGUGAAGCGAGAUCAUCGAGGCGGCUGUUCUCAUGCCUCUUCUGCGAGAAGAAGUUUGUCAAGUCGCAGGCGCUCGGGGGCCACCAGAACGCGCACAAGAAGGAGAGGGUCGGAAGCUGGAACGCCCACCUCUACCUCCCAGCCGACCACGACGACCCGCCGGCAACCAUAACGACUAGGGCGCCGGCGAGAUGGCCAAAUGCGCCCCUUGACGACGGCGGCGACAAGCAGAUGCAGCGUCAGCUUGAUCUUAACCUUAAGCUCUAG